AGAUACUGCAGACAGAGCAAUCAGGACACACAGACAGUAACAUAAACAUACUAAGUCGAGACAGGAAUUGACAACAAAGCAUUUACAAAACAGCAGCAAUUUCAGGCCACCUGGUCAGGAUAUGAAUGGCACUUCCUUAACAUCAAUCCCAUACCUGAACAAGAAGGAAAGUGAAGGAUGUGGAGCUUAAAACUAACAGGGUAAAACUCAUGAGAGAGAAGUGUGAAGCCUUUCAUUUUGGCGGAGGAUCAAUUACACAAGUAGAGGCUGGGGCAACUGCUGCUUGACACAGAUGAUGGAUGUUGGCUGAGCCUGUCGUGGUGGUCAUUUGGAAGCCUAUGUAAAUCGAGCCAUCACACUGUAUACCUGAAACUUGUAUGGUGCCUGCACCGGUGCAUGGGUUCAGCUGGUUCCAGUGUCCCUGGCUCAGCAUCUCCUGCCAGGCUGCAAACAGGAUGUCCUCUGGGACUGCAGUCAUUGCAAAGCCCAACAGGGAAGGAUCGGCUUCCAGUCUCACUCAGAUGGUUGUUGGCAGGAUUCAGUGGCUCCUCGGUUGUUGGAAUGACUGUCUCAGUUCAGACUGGCUGUUGGCCAAGAGUCCACCUUCAGUUCUUUGUCACACCAGUCUCACCAUAGGCCAGCUCACACAUGGCAACUUGCUUCAUUGGAACAAGUACGCCAGGAGAGCCAGAGAGAAUUAAGCAAGGAUGAGGUCACAGUCUUUUAUAACCUAAUGUCUAUAUGACUCCCAUCACUGCUGUUACUCUUCAGAGAAAGCCUCUUCUAUUCUAGUCCAUUCUUUAGAAGCUAGUCAUUAGGUCCAGCUCACAUAUGGGGAGGGGGUAGGACUACAUAAAGGUGUUACUAUCAGGAGUUGGGGGCCGCUGAGAGCCAUGUCAGAAAGCUGCCUACCAUUGGCAGAGCACUGUAUACAAAUCUGGGGGGAUAGCAUUCCAGAUGUUGGGAAUAGCAAUGCAAAGACCAUAGCAAUUUUGAGGUGCAGAAAUGGGGCUGGAAUGAAAUCAGGAAAAGGAAGCGGAGCUUGAAAAGUAGGCAGGGGCCCGAUCCUGGGUCACUUGGAACUGUUCAGGUCCUGGUAGUUUGGAUUUGAUUAGGAGCAGUGAAGACAAUUCCUUGGAAGGAUUUGAGCAGAAGAGGCUAAACUAACCUUUCUUUUAUGAAACUGGAAUGAUAGUAAAUGGCACAGUCUAUUCAUUUACUUGGUUUCAUCUACUUUUAAUGACCUUCCUAAGGGGAAGCUGGCAAUUAAAUCCGUGUCAGUUGUUCUCUAUAUUAAAAAGUUUUAUUGGUUCCUACCACCCUGAAUCUGACAAGCUAGUGAUCUAUAAGGAAGUGAUGCAAAAUGAUAGAUUUGUUAGCAUGUGGGUCCCCUAUGUUGCAUUUGGGGAAGAAGGCCCACUAAUUUAUUAUUAUUAUUAUCAUUAUCAUUUAUUAUGAUUUUGCCAUCAUUCACUGCAAUCAAAUGAGCUUGUCUCAUCACAACCUCAAGCAAAAGUCCGGGAACCACAGGGAUUUGGACGGAAGUGAAGGUGAUCCUGACUGUGUAUGUGGAGCCACCAGCGAAGUUCAUCCAUAGCCCAGGGAUGUGCAGGGAAUGGAGGGGCUACUUCCUCCCAGAGAACCAACACACUUAAAUUGCUAAAUCCUUCUCCCUAGGCAUCUGGGUCAGUUAAUCCCAGCCCAGGGCCACCAGCUGAGCUCUUCCCUGGCCAAGCUGCCCUGCUUUGAAAUUCUCCCCCAGGCCACCUCGCCCAAUGAUGUCAGCAGGGGUGAGCGCCCUGCCGGCCCUCCCCUCUCACAAGAUGAUGUGCAAGGGGAAACGGACUCUGUCUGUGCUCAGGAAACAUCUGGUCGAUCCGCUAGUCCUCAAGCGGGUCUCUGGCUGUUCUGUAAAUUAGGGGAACAGAAUAGGAUGGGAAGACAUGGAGCUUCAGUGAUUAGCCAACCUCGACAGCAAGUUACAAGCUGAAAGGAGAUGUGAGGAAACGGCCUCCCUGGCAGGCCCUCUCCAGGGACCCGGCACCACUGCCACAUGGUCACAUUUCCCAGCUUGUAAUGGAAAACAAAGGCUGUUUACAAGAGCUUAAAGUAGCUGGAAUGGGAACAGGAGCCAAGCGGUAUAGUGGAGGCUGAGCUUCUACUUGGAAGCUUUCAGCAGUCCAGUAAUUAUUCAGUACCAGGCCUGAAGGGCAGGCUCCUGAUGAGGACUAUUACUCUCUCUCCCGUGGAAAAUGAAACACCACAUUCACUGGUAAGCAGAAUCCAUGACCACGUAAAAACAGAUCCAGCCCCUCGUUAAGUGUUUGACAUAAAACAAAACUUGCUGUAUGUCCUCCCUGAGCUCUAAGUACCCUUUUUGUCCUGCUUGGUAUCCACUGGCUUUUUCUCGGUUUAUGAACCACUAGAGACAAAUCAGGUAAGAUAGAUAGGAGAAAAUGGACUUGGUGUGCUGCCCUCUCCCCCACCCACCUCCCUACCUGUCCCUGGGGGAAUACAGGUUUUCUGAACCGUCAGGAUUCUGGCCUGCAAAUGAAAAGCUCUUCUCUUCUCCUUCUGCUUUGCCUGCUGCCUCUCUCCCCUCCUCCAGUUAAAUCAAUAAGACCUUUCCCGUCUGGGUUUUCAGAUAGUCGGUGUAAGUCUUCAAGAGAGUCGAGUCAAAAUGCAUAGCAAAAAAGGAAUUUUUUUAAUUUCUAAGUACAAAGGCAAAACCAAGAAACCCUGAAAGACAAAGUAAUUCUAGCUUUAAAACAUUUCUAAAACUUCAUUUGUUCUCAAAGUUCACUCUUCGGUGAGAAUUAGGUGGAACACAGGAUCGAGCAUACCCUUUUUUGGUGCCCAUCUUUCUGACAUAGCGCUCAAACUGAGGUCAUGGGGCUUUAGGAUUGUAGCUCUACCAUGGAGUCAUCCGUUCCUUCAGAAGAUGGUUUUAAUAGUUUUUGUGUUCUAUAUAUGGAGAAUAUAGUUAGGAGCAAGACAAGGUUCCAUGCUCUCUCAGUCUUCAUACAUGAACAACGAGGAAAUGACCUGAUGUGUGCAAAGUGCUAAGCUUGUGCCUGACAUUUCAUAAGUGGCCGAUAAAUGCUGGCUAUUCUUGGUUAUUACCCCCAAUUUCCCCUAUCUGUCUGUUUCUCUCUCCAGCAGUGCUUUGCCUCAGAAUAUCCCGUCUGUCUGUGAAGACAAUCCUUCCUAAUUUCUGUCCAAAUUCAAGAUUUAUCAUAAGAAACUGGCUCACAGGAUUAUAUGGGCUGAGAUGUCCCAAGAACAUUUGAGAGACUACUUUAAAGUAGACCUAUCAUAAAAUACAGUUAUUGAGGAAAAGCUCAUUUAUAAACUUUUGUCUUACAUAUAUCUUAAUUUACUUGGCCAUAAUAAUUAUACUUAGAUUACUCAGAAAACUUCUAGAGACAUUAAAUAGCUGGCCAUCUAAAAUUGCCUUCUGACAAAUUCUGUCACAGAAUUUGAUGUGAAUGAAACAUAAGCUUAUUUGACUUCUGGUAAACUGAGGAAGAAUAAAAGUAUUAUAUUUAAUACUGGGAACUCUCAAGAUCUCCCUGUUUCAAUUAAACCAAUAAACCUAAAUUAGCUUUUAUUUACUGAGGACUAUCCUAGAUCAUGUGAACUUGCCAAAUAUUUGGGUUAGUUUCUGUAUUUAUCAGAGUAUAUUUAUAUAAUGCUUAUUUGUCUUUUAGCCAGUAUAUAGAACACUUCAUCGAUUAACUUGACAGGUUAAAAAUACAACCACCCUACAGUCCAGCAAUUACACUACUAGGUAAUUACCCAAAGGGAUACAUGCACCCUGAUGUUUGUAGCACCGUUAUCUACAAUCGCCAAAUUAUGGAAAUAGCCCAAGUGUCCCCAACUAAUGAAUGGAUAAAGAAGAUGUGAUGUCUAUAUUUUAAAUGGAAUACUAUUCAGCCAUAA